rnacentral:rRNA from 1 species
AUUGAACGCUGGCGGCAGGCCUAACACAUGCAAGUCGAGCGGAUGAAGGGAGCUUGCUCCUGGAUUCAGCGGCGGACGGGUGAGUAAUGCCUAGGAAUCUGCCUGGUAGUGGGGGAUAACGUCCGGAAACGGGCGCUAAUACCGCAUACGUCCUGAGGGAGAAAGUGGGGGAUCUUCGGACCUCACGCUAUCAGAUGAGCCUAGGUCGGAUUAGCUAGUUGGUGGGGUAAAGGCCUACCAAGGCGACGAUCCGUAACUGGUCCGAGAGGAUGAUCAGUCACACUGGAACUGAGACACGGUCCAGACUCCUACGGGAGGCAGCAGUGGGGAAUAUUGGACAAAGGGCGAAAGCCUGAUCCAGCCAUGCCGCGUGUGUGAAGAAGGUCUUCGGAUUGUAAAGCACUUUAAGUUGGGAGGAAUGGCAGUAAGUUAAUACCUUGCUGUUUUGACGUUACCAACAGAAUAAGCACCGGCUAACUUCGUG